rnacentral:rRNA from 1 species
UACGUAGGGUGCAAGCGUUAAUCGGAAUUACUGGGCGUAAAGCGUGCGCAGGCGGUUUUUUAAGUCAGAUGUGAAAUGCCCGGGCUUAACCUGGGAACUGCAUUUGUGACUGCAUGGCUAGAGUUUGGCAGAGGGGGGUAGAAUUCCACGUGUAGCAGUGAAAUGCGUAGAUAUGUGGAGGAACACCGAUGGCGAAGGCAGCCCCCUGGGUCAAGACUGACGCUCAUGCACGAAAGCGUGGGGAGCAAACAGG